rnacentral:tRNA from 1 species
GGGCACAUGGUCUAGGGGUAUGAUUUUCGCUUCGCAUCCAUUGACAGGGGGCGCUCCAGGUUCUCCCUGGUGCUAAACUCUGCCGGAAACGUGUGUGAAAGGUCGUGGGUUCAAUUCCCACUGUGUCCA